GACGAACGCUGGCGGCGUGCUUAACACAUGCAAGUCGAACGGAAAGGCCCUGCUUUUGUGGGGUGCUCGAGUGGCGAACGGGUGAGUAACACGUGAGUAACCUGCCCUUGACUUUGGGAUAACUUCAGGAAACUGGGGCUAAUACCGGAUAGGAUCUCCUGCUGCAUGGUGGGGGUUGGAAAGUUUCGGCGGUUGGGGAUGGACUCGCGGCUUAUCAGCUUGUUGGUGGGGUAGUGGCUUACCAAGGCUUUGACGGGUAGCCGGCCUGAGAGGGUGACCGGCCACAUUGGGACUGAGAUACGGCCCAGACUCCUACGGGAGGCAGCAGUGGGGAAUAGUGCACAAUGGGCGGAAGCCUGAUGCAGCAACGCCGCGUGCGGGAUGACGGCCUUCGGGUUGUAAACCGCUUCCGCCUGUGACGAAGCGUGAGUGACGGUAAUGGGUAAAGAAGCACCGGCUAACUACGUG
rnacentral:rRNA from 1 species